rnacentral:rRNA from 1 species
GGGGGGGGGGGGGGGGGGGGGGGGGGGGGGCGGGUCGAGCGGAAGGGCCCUGCGUGUGUGGGGGGGUGGGGUGGCGAAAGGGGGGGUGACACGUGUGUAACCUGCCCUUGAAUUUGGGGUCACUUCAGGAAACUGGGGCUACUACGCGAUAGGCGCCCCUGCUGCCUGGGGGGGGCUGGGCAGUUUCGGCGGUUGGGGAUGUACGCGCGGCAUAUGCGCUUGUUCGUGGGGUAGUGGCUUACCAAGGCGUUGAAGGUUAGCCGGCCGGAGAGGGUGACCGGCAACAUUGGGACUGAGAUACGGCCCAGACUCCUACGGGAGGCAGCAGUGGGGAAUAUUGCACAAUGGGCGGAAGCCGGAUGCAGCAACGCCGCGUGCGGGAUGACGGCCUUCGGGUUGUAAACCGCUUUCGCCUGUGACGAAGCGUGAGUGACCGUAAUGGGUAGAGCAGCACCGGCCAACUACGUG